rnacentral:lncRNA from 1 species
UGAUUAUUGUGCUGGAAACCAUCUGAGUCGUCAAUGAGCUAUCAGUUUCAAGUCGGUAUAGUAUGGUGGUAACUUCGGAGAGUAUCUUAACGAAUAUCAUCAUAGUUAGGAGAAUCAUCCAAAUUUUUCAUGGAGCCAUAAUAAUCAAGUCCAAAUUUUUUCUCUAAGCCAAUCAUACACUCCAGAAUUUUAGGAUCAAGCUCC